ACUACGCAAAUAUUUCCACAUAGUGAUGUAGACAUGUGGGGGCGUGUUUAAACAAGGCGUUUUUAAGAGGGCGUGGCAGUCUUAAAUUUUACAAAGAAUAUAUCUUUGAAUUUGAGACUUUAGUCUUUGCAGCUUUACAUGUAUUCAUUGAGCAACAAGAGCUUGUAACACUCCAAAGAGAAUGGAAAAAUUAAAUUAAGAAGGGAAUUUCAACAUAUCUUCUACAUUUCAUCAGGUGAAUAUAUAAAGUAUUAUAAUAUAAAUAUCUGAAUUGAUGAUAGCUGGUGGAGAGUGGCACAGGCCCUCCAUACUGAGGCAUUAAUUAGCCUUAGGACACAGGCUCUUUAACUUGUAGAUAAAUGAUAGUUAAUGAUGGUAAUCAAAGGUUCAUGAUAGUGCGCAUUAAUGUUUUUUAUAUAUGUAUAAAAAUAUGGCUGCAAGCAGCAAUCAUCAUAGUUGAAGCACCAAUGGCUCAGAUGGAAAAUAUGGACACCAGUGGCUUAUGUGCUAUGUAAAAAAAAGUUACAUAACAAUAUAGCCUUCAAUUACAUAUUAAUACAGACAGACAGCAGCAGGUAUUUUAGGCUGUCACUUUAAUUUCCAACUAUCCACUGCAUUUACGAAGUGGGGAGUUAUUUUCUCAUAUUUUUGUGCUUUAAAGUUUCAUGUAUAAAACGGCUAUAUUUACAACCCGCGAUGUACACGAUACAACAAAUUAUAUCAAGUUAAUAUCAAAUAUCAUUAGAUUUUAAUGCUAUCGUUCGAAAGGAGACGACGUCACGCAUUCCACCCCCCACCCCCCCUUUCAUUCUGCGCUAGCGUUUAUGACGUCACAGGCUUAUUACAGUAUAUAAAGGCGCGAAAAAAUCACUUGCUCAUUUUAUGGGUUGAAGUGUCAGAGUAUCUGAUAGCGACAAUUAGCGAGUGGUCAUUCGUAAUUUAUUUUAUCAUGGGACUGCUUUCAAGACUAAAAAAAGCGGCUGGUUUGGAGUGUGUACGCGAUCCCAGUGUACAAACCAAAGACUCCCUCAACAGCUCAGAGAACCGUCACCCUGAUCACCCUGAUGCUGUUGACACUGAUGGAGGGAGAAAUGAGAAGAAGACCAAGAACUUCUGGAAGUGGCCCGCUCUUCACGUUCCUUGCUGCAGAGCUGGAACAUAUGACCUGGUCAAAACUGAGAAGAAAUGCGGGAUAGAGGCGGAAAUAAAUCGGAGAUAUAGCAAUGCUCCAGCUCUUGAAGUCCUCCCCGCUGUUGAGGAACAGCAGAAACAGGAUGUCCUGGACAAGGGCCAGAGUGUACACGAACCCUCUGUACUUUCCCCCAUCAUGGCAGAGAACCGUCAACCUAAUCCACCUGAUGAGGCUCCUGCUGGAGCUGCUGAGACUGAUGGAGAGAGAACGGAGAAGAAGAAGAAGAGCUUCUGGAAGUGGCCCACUCUUCACUUUCCUUGCUGCAGUGCUGGAACAUAUGACCUGGUCAAAAUUGAGAAGAAAUGCGGGAUAGAGGCGGAAAAAUAUCAGGGACAUAGCGAUGCUCCAGCUGAAGACCUACUCUCAAGGUCAGGCAGCCAUCAUCCUAAUCCACCUGAUGAGGAGCCUGCUGGAGCUGCUGAGACUGAUGGAGAGAGAACGGAGGAAGUCCUCCUCACUGCUGAGGAACGGCUUGUGCAGGACAUCCUGGACAAGGGCCACAUUUGCAAGUAUACAGUCGGCUGCAAGUUGGGUGAAGGAGGAUGUGGUAGUGUUUAUGAAGGGACUCGCUGCAAGGAUGGACUUCAGGUGGCAGUGAAAUGUUCUAGCAAGACGCCAAACAUGCCAUCUAUCAAAGUGCCUGGUCAUCCCAAACGCCUUCCCAUUGAGAUUGGCCUGUUGCUCAUGGCCAAUAAGGGCCCCAGCGUUCCUCAGAUCAUUCAGUUGCUUGACUGGGAGGAUGACGCAGACCACUACGUGAUGGUCAUGGAGCGCCCCAUUCCUUGCAUGGACUUGUUUAGUUUUGUGGAGAACCAUGGAGGAAGCCUUGAUGAGGGGACGGCACGAAAUAUUAUGCGGCAGGUCACUGAUGCCGCUAAAACUUGCUGUAAGCGUGGCAUCUUCCAUCGUGAUUUCAAACUGGAGAACCUUCUGGUGAAUGAGGACACCAUGGAAGUCAAAUUAAUUGACUUCGGGUGCGGUGCGCUCAUGAAGAAAUCUGCCUUCAAAGUCUUCCAUGGCACAAGAGUGUACUGUCCUCCCGAGUUCUACAUGAAGGGCAGGUACCACGCAAAACCAACGACAGUGUGGACUCUAGGGUUCAUCCUGUAUGAAAUGCUGUGUGGAGAAACUCCUACAUCCUACGACCGAAGCAUGAUCACUGUGAAGCUCUGGACCAGACCCGGCUUGUCAAAAGGUGAGAUCUUCAUCAGACAACAAAGAACUCUAAAUCAUACAAAAAAGUCCAAUAGCUUCAAAGAGAUCAGGUGUAAUGUAUAAACGUAUGAUCAAAUGUCUUUCUCGUCUUUUUGCACAGAAUGCUGCCAGAUGAUUUGCGAUUGUCUGCAGCCCAAGCCAGGGAAGAGACUCAGUCUGGACAAGAUGCAUCUCCAUGACUGGUUUAAGGUCACGGAGUAAGACACAAAGAACCUCAGAAACAACUCUUGUCACGGCCACCCUGUUGUUUUCUGUCUUCAGUCAGCUUUGCGUCU